UUUUCUUUUUUAGAUAUCGCAAUUUUGAUCAGCCUCAUCGAUUUUAUGUAGCUGAUGUGUACACUGAUCUUACCCCACUCAGUAAAUUUCCUUCCCCUGAGUAUGAAACUUUUGCAGAAUAUUAUAAAACAAAGUACAACCUUGACCUAACCAAUCUCAACCAGCCACUGCUGGAUGUGGACCACACAUCUUCAAGACUUAAUCUUUUGACACCUCGACAUUUGAAUCAGAAGGGGAAAGCGCUUCCUUUAAGCAGUGCUGAGAAGAGGAAAGCCAAAUGGGAAAGUCUGCAGAAUAAACAGAUACUGGUUCCAGAACUCUGUGCUAUACAUCCAAUUCCAGCAUCACUGUGGAGAAAAGCUGUUUGUCUCCCCAGCAUACUUUAUCGCCUUCACUGCCUUUUAACUGCAGAGGAGCUAAGAGCCCAGACUGCCAGUGAUGCUGGCGUGGGAGUCAGAUCACUUCCUGCGGAUUUUAGAUACCCUAACUUAGACUUCGGGUGGAAAAAAUCUAUUGACAGCAAAUCUUUCAUCUCAAUUUCUAACUCCUCUUCAGCUGAAAAUGAUAAUUACUGUAAGCACAGCACAAUUGUCCCUGAAAAUGCUGCACAUCAAGGUGCUAAUAGAACCUCCUCUCUAGAAAAUCAUGACCAAAUGUCUGUGAACUGCAGAACGUUGCUCAGCGAGUCCCCUGGUAAGCUCCACGUUGAAGUUUCAGCAGAUCUUACAGCAAUUAAUGGUCUUUCUUACAAUCAAAAUCUCGCCAAUGGCAGUUAUGAUUUAGCUAACAGAGACUUUUGCCAAGGAAAUCAGCUAAAUUACUACAAGCAGGAAAUACCCGUGCAACCAACUACCUCAUAUUCCAUUCAGAAUUUAUACAGUUACGAGAACCAGCCCC
rnacentral:sRNA from 1 species